GAGGCUUAACUUCGGGAUUGCCAUUGAAACUACCCUUCUUGAGUACAGUCGAAGACGGCGGAAUGAGUUAUGUAGCGGUGAAAUGCAUAGAUAUAACUCAGAACACCGAUUGCGAAGGCAGCUGUCUAGGCUGAGACUGACGCUGAGGCACGAAAGCGUGGGGAGCGAACAGGAUUAGAUACCCUGGUAGUCCACGCUGUAAACUAUGAUCACUCGCUGUUGGCAAUAUAAAGUCAGCGGCUGAGCGAAAGCAUUAAGUGAUCCACCUGGGGAGAACGUCGGCAACGAUGAAACUCAAAGGAAUUGACGGGGGCCCGCACAAGCGGAGGAACAUGUGGUUUAAUUCGAUGAUACGCGAGGAACCUUACCUGGGCUUAAAUGUAGAGUGCAUGGAGGGGAAACCUUCCUUUCCUUCGGGACUCUUUACAAGGUGCUGCAUGGUUGUCGUCAGCUCGUGCCGUGAGGUGUCGGGUUAAGUCCCAUAACGAGCGCAACCCCUAUCGUUAGUUGCCAUCUGGUCAUGCUGGGGACUCUAGCGAGACUGCCGGUGUAAACCGGAGGAAGGUGGGGAUGACGUCAAAUCAGCACGGCCCUUACGCCCAGGGCUACACACGUGUUACAAUGGCCGGAACAAAGAGCAGCUCCUACGCGAGUAGAUGCUAAUCUCUAAAACCGGUCUCAGUUCGGAUCGGAGUCUGCAAUUCGACUCCGUGAAGGUGGA
rnacentral:rRNA from 1 species